GGGACGGAGUAAUUUGAAUUAGACAUCUGAAUUAGAUAUGUGUGGGUUUUUUUAAUUGUCAAGAAUGCUACCUGCAUGCAUCUCCUGCAGUGUUUACAACGAGUUUUGAAUUGGUUCUUAUUACGAAAGAAGGCAUUGUAUCACCGCCCUUUUUUUUUUUUUGACUGUAUAUGGAAUUGCCGGCUGAAAAUUUUGGUAGCUUCAGCCGUUUUUUUGACCGUGCGAUGAAGACACACGUCGUUCAUCC
rnacentral:lncRNA from 1 species